GUCCCCGUCGUCUAGAGGCCUAGGACAUUACCCUUUCACGGUAGCAACACGGGUUCGAAUCCCGUCGGGGACGCCA
rnacentral:tRNA from 1 species